CCAGGAAGUGCUGGGCCACUUCCCUCCGAAACACUAGUGAUGCUUGAUAGUCAGAACAAAGGAACAAAGAAAGUUUGAGUUUUAUCCUCUCCCCAGCUGGACGAGGCAGAUGUCUGCCCUCCCUGUGCCUGGCUCUGCUGGAGGUUUCUUCCUUUAAAAAAGCAGCCAUCUGUCCUGAUGUCUCAGCUGAUCACCUCCACCUCUUCAUUCACCUGUUAAGUCCCACCUCAUCUCCUCCCACCAGGAUAAAUACCAGCAGGCUGCUUGAAGCUGUGGGACGUCAACUGAGUGCAAAAAAAAAAACAAAACAAUGAGCUCAGUAUUCUCGCUGGAGGUUUCUGUUUCUUCUGCGUAUCUGAACUUUUUAUCACGCCCUUUAUAAGUUGAGUGUGAGCAGGAAAAGCAACGCUUCUUAUUUCUCUGUGCAUAAAACUGUAAAGUUAAUAGUAAAAGCCCUCUGGAUGUAAACAUCAAAG